rnacentral:lncRNA from 1 species
ACUUAUCUGGCCAAUUGGAUGAUUGUGUUCAUUAGUUGCUAAGGCAUUUUGGUUUAGCCCAUACCAGUUAAAUUGGUUAUGUAAUAACUGAUUAGAUGAGAUUUGACCUAAACCUUCCCAAUCAAUAUUAAGCCUUAUGAUCUUCCAUCAUUGUAGAAGUACGAGCAUGCUACUGACAUUGACUAUUCUCGGUUGGUUAUAGU